GAUGAACGCUGACAGAAUGCUUAACACAUGCAAGUCAACUUGAACUUCGGUUUGGGUGGCGGACGGGUGAGUAACGCGUAAAGAACUUGCCUCACAGAUAGGGACAACAUUUGGAAACGAAUGCUAAUACCUGAUAUUAUGAUUUUAGGGCAUCCUAAGAUUAUGAAAGCUAUAUGCGCUGUGAGAGAGCUUUGCGUCCCAUUAGCUAGUUGGAGAGGUAACGGCUCACCAAGGCGAUGAUGGGUAGCCGGCCUGAGAGGGUGAUCGGCCACAAGGGGACUGAGACACGGCCCUUACUCCUACGGGAGGCAGCAGUGGGGAAUAUUGGACAAUGGACCAAGAGUCUGAUCCAGCAAUUCUGUGUGCACGAUGAAGUUUUUCGGAAUGUAAAGUGCUUUCAGUUGGGAAGAAAAAAAUGACGGUACCAACAGAAGAAGUGACGGCUAAAUACGUGCCAGCAGCCGCGGUAAUACGUAUGUCACAAGCGUUAUCCGGAUUUAUUGGGCGUAAAGCGCGUCUAGGUGGUUAUAUAAGUCUGAUGUGAAAAUGCAGGGCUCAACUCUGUAUUGCGUUGGAAACUGUGUAACUAGAGUACUGGAGAGGUAAGCGGAACUACAAGUGUAGAGGUGAAAUUCGUAGAUAUUUGUAGGAAUGCCGAUGGGGAAGCCAGCUUACUGGACAGAUACUGACGCUGAAGCGCGAAAGCGUGGGUAGCAAACAGG
rnacentral:rRNA from 1 species